GCCGGGGUGGCGGAAUUGGCAUACGCAGCGGACUUAAAAUCCGUCGGCCGCAAGGCCUUGUGGGUUCGACCCCCACCCCCGGUACCA
rnacentral:tRNA from 1 species